GGAACUCAAACUUCGCCAGGUUUGACUCUAUCUUUAUUUGACUUGAAUAGCACUAAAAAUUAUAGCUACAUAGCAAGGGUAUCUCUCCCACAUCUUAAAGAUCUCCAUUCCCCAUCUGAGUGUUCCAGACCUGAGACCUCCAAGUUGGAAUCUCAAGCUUUAGCUAUUAAGUUGUGCCCUCAGGGACCUGAAUUUCUAAUAUUGUUG
rnacentral:misc_RNA from 1 species